rnacentral:rRNA from 1 species
UGUCGUCAGCUCGUGUCGUGAGAUGUUGGGUUAAGUCCCGCAACGAGCGCAACCCCUGCAUUCAGUUGCCAUCGGGUGAAGCCGGGCACUCUGGAAGGACUGCCAUCGACAAGAUGGAGGAAGGUGGGGACGACGUCAAGUCAUCAUGGCCCUUAUGUCCAGGGCGACACACGUGCUACAAUGGCCGGCACAACGGGAAGCGAGUUCGCGAGGACGAGCGGAUCCCUUAAAGCCGGUCGCAGUUCGGAUUGAAGUCUGCAACUCGACUUCAUGAAGCUGGAAUCGCUAGUAAUCGCAGAUCAGCCAAGCUGCGGUGAAUACGUUCCCGGGCCUU